rnacentral:rRNA from 1 species
AGGUGAAAAGCACCCCGGAAGGGGAGUGAAACAGUUCCUGAUACCGUGUGCCUUCAAGUAGUUAGAGCCCGUUCAUGGGUGAUAGCGUGCCUUUUGUAGAAUGAACCGGCGAGUUACGAUUUGUUGCAAGGUUAAGCGGAAAAAGCGGAGCCGUAGCGAAAGCGAGUCUGAAUAGGGCGCAUAAGUGACAGGUGG